CGUCUCGAGGGCUGUCGGGGCUUCCUUGUGGCGUCUGCACCCGGGGCGUUCUCCCGCCGGUCGCUGCUCCGCCUACGUCCAGGCUCCUCCCGGCUGCCUGAGUUGCGCAAUCCGUAGCCGGGGAAGCGCUACGUGGAGACCGCGCUAAGUGGAAGCCGAGCUCUGGAGCUGGGGAACAGGAGGGCGGACCUUGAAUAGAUGCUGGACAUUCCUCAUCAGAAACCUGAGGAGGAUACUAAAAAGACAGCCACAAUUUUCCUUCUGCUUGCUGCCAAAGUUCUUGAGGCCAGCUGUUGGGAUUGAUCACUGGACCCAUAUAAAGCAAUCACAAUAGUUGGAAGUUUUUCAAACUGCAAAUCAUGAUCCAUUAAAAGGUCAUAAUAUGAAUUCAGUGGAACACAGCCAACCUUAAAACAGCGACAUAGAAUAUAUAGAAAUGUCAGCAUUAAACACAAUAAGGGGCAUGGUUCUGGCGGAAGAUACCCCACUUACAUCACUGGGCAGAGCACUUGGCAUCUUGCUCUGCAGCAUCAGCAUUGAGAUUUAUGGUGACCUCACUGCUAUCGCCAAGGACAGUGGGUGGGUACUUGCUUCGUGUUUAUAUAACUACAGGGCCAAUCCUGGAAAACUUCCAAAGACAAAAGGACUCUGUUCCAAAGACUCUGAGAGCUUUCUCAACUUCCCCAAACUAAAAGUUGCCAGUAACCUCCCAAUGGCAGCUCCAGGAAAAGAAAGAAAGAAAGAAAGAAAGAAAGAAAGAAAGAAAGAAAGAAAGAAAGAGAAAGAAAGAGAAAG